rnacentral:rRNA from 1 species
GAUGAACGCUGGCGGCGUGCUUAACACAUGCAAGUCGAACGGUGAAGGCGGAGCUUGCUCUGCUGGCUCAGUGGCGUACGGGUGAGUACCACGUGAGCAAUCUGCCCCUGAUUCCGGGCUAAGCGCUGGAAACUGCGUCUUAUACUGGAUACGAGCUGCGACGGCAUCUUCAGCAGCUGGAAAGAACUCCGGUCAGGGAUGAGCUCGCGGCCUAUCAGCUUGUUGGUGAGGUACCGGCUCACCAAGGCGUCGACCGGUAGGCGGCCUGAGAGGGUGACAGGCCACACUGGGACUGAGACGCGGCACAGACUCCUACGGGACGCAGCGGUGCAGAAUGGAGCACUAUAGGCGAAAGCCUGAUGCAGCAACGCCGCGUGGGGGGCGACGGGCAUCGGGUUGGAAACCAAUGUUAGCAGAGAAGAAGCGAAAGUGACGGUACCUGCGUAAAAAGCGCCGGCUAACUACGUG